UGAAUACGAGACGCUAAGGCGUCGAAGUAGUGUAUGUCAUACUUCCAAGAAAAGCUUGCACUGUCAUAGAUAAAAAACGCCUGUACCAUAACCGACACAGGUGGGUAGGUAGAGUAUACUAAGGGGCGCGAGAUAACUCUCUCUAAGGAACUCGGCAAAAUAACUCCGUAACUUCGGGAGAAGGAGUGCCUUAUUAUUAAGGCUGCAAUAACAAGAUCCAAGCAACUGUUUAUCAAAAACACAGGUCUCCGCUAAGUCGUAAGACGAUGUAUGGGGGCUGACGCCUGCCCAGUGCCAGAAGGUUAAAGAAGUUGGUUAGCAUUUGCGAAGCUGAUAACUGAAGCCCUGGUGAACGGCGGCCGUAACUAUAACGGUCCUAAGGUAGCGAAAUUCCUUGUCGGGUAAGUUCCGACCCGCACGAAAGGCGUAAUGAUUUGGAUACUGUCUCGGAGAGGGGCUCGGUGAAAUAGACUUGUCUGUGAAGAUGCGGACUACCUGCACCAGGACAGAAAGACCCUAUGAAGCUUUACUGUAACUUGAAAUUGAAAUUGGACUUUAUUCGCGCAGCAUAGGUGGGAGGCGUUGAUUAUAAUCUUGUGGGAUUAUUGGAGCCAUCAGUGAGAUACCACUCUUGUAAUGUUAGAUUUCUAACUUUGAAUCAUUAUCUGGUCAAAGAACAGUUUCAGGCGGGCAGUUUGACUGGGGCGGUCGCCUCCUAAACGGUAACGGAGGCGUACAAAGGUUUCCUCUGAACGGUUAGAAAUCGUAUCUAGAGUGUAAAGGCAUAAGGAAGCUUGACUGUGAGACCUACAAGUCGAGCAGGGACGAAAGUCGGUCUUAGUGAUCUGACGGUACUGAGGAAAGGCCGUCACUCAACGGAUAAAAGUUACUCUAGGAUAACAGGCUGAUCUCCCCCAAGAGUUCACAUCGACGGGGAGGUUUGGCACCUCGAUGUCGGCUCAUCGCAUCCUGGGGCGGUAGUACGUCCCAAGGGUUGGGCUGUUCGCCCAUGAAAGCGGUACGCGAGCUGGGUUCAGAACGUCGUGAGACAGUUCGGUCCAUAUCCGGUGUAGGCGUUAGAAUAUUGAGAGGAGCCUUCUUUAGUACGAGAGGACCGAGAAGGACAUACCUCUGGUGUACCAGUUAUCGUGCCAACGGUAAACGCUGGGUAGCUAUGUAUGGAGUGGAUAACCGCUGAAAGCAUCUAAGUGGGAAGCCCACCUCAAGAUAAG
rnacentral:rRNA from 1 species